UACGUAGGGCGCAAGCGUUGUCCGGAAUUAUUGGGCGUAAAGAGCGUGUAGGCGGCCUGACAGGUCUGCUGUGAAAACUCGAGGCUCAACCUCGAGAUGUCGGCGGAAACCGUCUGGCUAGAGUCCGGAAGAGGAGAGUGGAAUUCCUGGUGUAGCGGUGAAAUGCGCGGAUAUCAGGAAGAACACCUAUGGCGAAGGCAGCUCUCUGGGACGGUACUGACGCUGAGACGCGAAAGCGUGGGGAGCGAACAGG
rnacentral:rRNA from 1 species